UGGCAAGAAAGAGGUAGACCUGUGAUGGU
rnacentral:piRNA from 1 species